AUUGAACGCUGGCGGCAGGCCUAACACAUGCAAGUCGAACGGUAGCACAGAGAGCUUGCUCUCGGGUGACGAGUGGCGGACGGGUGAGUAACGUCUGGGAAACUGCCCGAUGGAGGGGGAUAACUACUGGAAACGGUAGCUAAUACCGCAUAACGUCGCAAGACCAAAGUGGGGGACCUUCGGGCCUCACACCAUCGGAUGUGCCCAGAUGGGAUUAGCUAGUAGGUGGGGUAAUGGCUCACCUAGGCGACGAUCCCUAGCUGGUCUGAGAGGAUGACCAGCCACAGUGGAACUGAGACACGGUCCAGACUCCUACGGGAGGCAGCAGUGGGGAAUAUUGCACAAUGGGCGCAAGCCUGAUGCAGCCAUGCCGCGUGUAUGAAGAAGGCCUUCGGGUUGUAAAGUACUUUCAGCGGGGAGGAAGGCGGUGAAGUUAAUAGCUUCACUGAUUGACGUUACCCGCAGAAGAAGCACCGGCUAACUCCGUGCCAGCAGCCGCGGUAA
rnacentral:rRNA from 1 species